rnacentral:rRNA from 1 species
UAUUAAGUUUAAUUUAAUAUAGGAUCUGCUCAAUGAUUUAUUAAAUAGCUGCAGUAUUUUGACUGUGCAAAGGUAGCAUAAUAAUUAGUCUUUUAAUUGAGGACUUGAAUGAAAGAUUUGAUGAGAAAUAAACUUUAUUAUUUAUAUAAUUAAAAUUUUAUUUUUAAGUAAAAAAGCUUAAAUUAUUUAAAGGGACGAUAAGACCCUAUAAAACUUUAUAGAUAUUAAUUUUAGUUUUUUUGGUUAUAUAAAUAUAUUAAUUUUAUUAUUUAUUUUAUUGGGGUGAUAAAAAAAAUUAUAAAACUUUUUUUAAAAUUUAACAUUAGUUAAUGAAUUUUUGAAUUAAAAUUUUUAAUUAAAGGAAAAAGUUACUUUAGGGAUAACAGCGUAAUUAAUUUUUUAAGUUCAAAUUUGAAAAUUAGUUUGCGACCUCGAUGUUGAAUUAAGAUUAAUCUUAGGUGCAAAAUUU